GGUCCCAUGGUGUAAUGCUGCUAAUAAAGGAUUGAGUAUUGAGUAUUGGUUAGCACUUUGGACUCUGAAUCCAACGAUCCGAGUUCAAAUCUCGGUGGGACCU